rnacentral:rRNA from 1 species
UACGAAGGGGGCUAGCGUUGUUCGGAUUUACUGGGCGUAAAGCGCACGUAGGCGGUUUGUUAAGUCAGGGGUGAAAUCCCGGAGCUCAACUCCGGAACUGCCUUUGAUACUGGCAAGCUAGAGUCCGGAAGAGGUAAGUGGAACUCCUAGUGUAGAGGUGGAAUUCGUAGAUAUUAGGAAGAACACCAGUGGCGAAGGCGGCUUACUGGCCCGAUACUGACGCUGAGGCGCGAAAGCGUGGGGAGCAAACAGG